UACGAAGGGGGCUAGCGUUGCUCGGAAUUACUGGGCGUAAAGCGCACGUAGGCGGCUUUCUAAGUCGGGGGUGAAAUCCUGGAGCUCAACUCCAGAACUGCCUUCGAUACUGGAAGCUUGAGUCCGGGAGAGGUGAGUGGAACUGCGAGUGUAGAGGUGAAAUUCGUAGAUAUUCGCAAGAACACCAGUGGCGAAGGCGGCUCACUGGCCCGGUACGUGACGCUGA
rnacentral:rRNA from 1 species